UCGAUGCGAAUGAAGCAUGUGAAAGGACGGUAACACCGCCCGCCGGAACUGUCGGCGAACGGUGGCCCUCCGCUCCGGCCUGAAAAGAACUAAACUAAGUCCGGUGGAACCCGAUCCUAUCGAUCGAUAAGGUCGGUUGAGAGCUGAUCGGUUGUAACUUUUGACAGCAAGUUCUAAGAUGGUGUGAUGGCAGGAAUCAAGUUUUUUUUCCCUCUUUGAAGACAAUGAUGAGCAGCAAUUGAGUACUGGUGCUAGGAUUGACAGCAAGAGUGGUUGAAGUUUGUUUAAAUUAGGGGAGUCAAAAGAAGUCAAGCUCAACUUGUCACUUUCAUCUAGUUAUGGUGGUCAAGGCCAUGUGAGCCAUGAUUUCAAAAGGUACAAAAGUUUUUUUUUUUUUCUCUUUUUUGUUUGGAUGACAACUAAUAGACCAUCAAUGGCUAUCCAUUACUCACCAUCCAACCAGUGAAAUGUGGAAAAUCAAACACAAUCGCCAUUUUUAACACCAAAAGGUAGGUGGUUGAAGGAGCUUUGAAAGCUUUGCAUCUCAUUUUGUCAAGGUUUCGAUGAUGCCAUUGCCAAAGAGGAAGCCUUUUACUUUUGUUCAAAAAAGAAAUCUCUUGUAAAUGAUUGUGAGAAAACUAGGCUGAGAUUGUAGGAAAAGGAAUUAUGAGAUAGCAAACAGAGCAAUAAAACAGGGUCCUCAUUUGUUAGGUAAUUACUAAUUAGGUAUUUUGUUUCUGUGGUUAGGAUGACAGUUUGAGUCCAAAUUUUAAUGAAUUCAUAUAAUUCAA